rnacentral:rRNA from 1 species
CCUACGGGAGGCAGCAGUGGGGAAUAUUGCACAAUGGGGGAAACCCUGAUGCAGCGACGCCGCGUGAGUGAAGAAGUAAUUCGUUACGUAAAGCUCUAUCAGCAGGGAAGAAACACUGACCUUACGGUCAGCAGACGGUAGCUGAGUAAGAAGCACCGGCUAACUACGUGCCAGCAGCCGCGGUAAUACGUAGGGGGCCAGCGUUAUCCGGAUUUAUUGGGUGUAAAGGGAGCGUAGACGGCAGUGCAAGUCUGGAGUGAAAGGCGGGGGCUCAACCCCCGGACUGCUCUGGAAACUGUACGGCUGGAGUGCAGGAGAGGUAAGUGGAAUUCCUAGUGUAGCGGUGAAAUGCGUAGAUAUUAGGAGGAACACCAGUGGCGAAGGCGGCUUACUGGACUGUAACUGACGUUGAGGCUCGAAAGCGUGGGGAGCGAACAGGAUUAGAUACCCUAGUAGUC